rnacentral:rRNA from 1 species
CGAGGGGCAGCAUUUCAGUUUGCUUGCAAACUGGAGAUGGCGACCGGCGCACGGGUGAGUAACACGUAUCCAACCUGCCGAUAACUCGGGGAUAGCCUUUCGAAAGAAAGAUUAAUACCCGAUAGUAUAAUUAGACCGCAUGGUCUUAUUAUUAAAGAAUUUCGGUUAUCGAUGGGGAUGCGUUCCAUUAGGCAGUUGGUGAGGUAACGGCUCACCAAACCUUCGAUGGAUAGGGGUUCUGAGAGGAAGGUCCCCCACAUUGGAACUGAGACACGGUCCAAACUCCUACGGGAGGCAGCAGUGAGGAAUAUUGGUCAAUGGGCGCAGGCCUGAACCAGCCAAGUAGCGUGAAGGAUGACUGCCCUAUGGGUUGUAAACUUCUUUUAUAUGGGAAUAAAGUUUUCCACGUGUGGAAUUUUGUAUGUACCAUAUGAAUAAGGAUCGGCUAACUCCGUGCCAGCAGCCGCGGUAAUACGGAGGAUCCGAGCGUUAUCCGGAUUUAUUGGAUUUAAAGGGAGCGUAGGUGGACAGUUAAGUCAGUUGUGAAAGUUUGCGGCUCAACCGUAAAAUUGCAGUUGAUACUGGCUGUCUUGAGUACAGUAGAGGUGGGCGGAAUUCGUGGUGUAGCGGUGAAAUGCUUAGAUAUCACGAAGAACUCCGAUUGCGAAGGCAGCUCACUG